GAGCGAUGAUGAAAAAGCUCUCGUGACUACUUUGGGUCGUCACACGUCUGCCGAUAUCAGAUGAUAGAGCAAAACUGAGCUU
rnacentral:snoRNA from 1 species